UACGGAGGGUGCAAGCGUUAAUCGGAAUUACUGGGCGUAAAGCGUGCGCAGGCGGUUUGUUAAGUCUGCUGUGAAAUCCCCGAGCUCAACUUGGGAAUUGCAGUGGAUACUGGCAGGCUGGAGUAUGGUAGAGGAAGGUGGAAUUCCCGGUGUAGCAGUGAAAUGCGUAGAGAUCGGGAGGAACACCAGUGGCGAAGGCGGCCCUCUGGACCAAUACUGACGCUCAUGCACGAAAGCGUGGGGAGCAAACAGG
rnacentral:rRNA from 1 species